rnacentral:lncRNA from 1 species
CCCCGCCCCCUCAGUUCCACCCCUUGGCCUGCCGGGUCCUCUCAGGCACCCAGCGGAGUUUCGAGUCAGACUUGAGCUCGGGCGUAGCGGCUAGACCGGGCUGUGGCGAUAGAGUCCAAAGGAAGGCAGGAUGACUUCAAAGAUCUGCUAGUGCACCUGGAUUCUGGUUUUCUUACUAUUCAGCUUCAUGACCUUGAACAAACUUUACUCAGCUUGGCUGUGCCUCAGUUUAGUCAUCUGGAAAGGAAGGGGAUAGGACUAUAACUAAAUAUAAUUCUAGAUCAUUUUAAGUAUCAUCUGUGCACUCACGCAAUAUGUGCAUGGAACGUGGAGGCGAGAGUACAAAAGGCAUGGUGCUUGCCUAUCGACAUGAGGCCCCUACAACCCAGGGAAGGCCCGGUGGUCCAGGAUCCAGUGCUGCUCCCCAUGUGCCCAUCUCACAUGCUGCUCGGCACCAGCAGCCAUCACCACUCCACUUCUCUCAAGAGAGACAGAGUCUCACUAUGUUGCCCAGGCU